rnacentral:misc_RNA from 1 species
AAGUCGUAACAAGGUUUCCGUAGGUGAACCUGCGGAAGGAUCAUUAACAGUUUAAAGGUCGUCUUUAAAAGGACGUACCAUUUCACUGAUACACCUGUGUUGUUGUUGAUGUUUCUGGCGAGUUUGAGUGGAUUGUGGUGUGUGUGUAUACGCAUACUAUAAAAGCUCACACUAGCUUUUGCGUGUAAAAUCGCAUUUGCCAGUGCGGCUCGUCAGCAUUUUCUUCAUAACCAUUUCUUUUUUGACUGAACUUUUUUUAAUGACUCUUAUACAUAUACACACAUAUGCAUAUUAGUCUAUUAUAAUCUUAUACAACUGUUAGCAACGGAUCACUUGGUUCUC